GAUGAAGAACGUAGCGAAAUGCGAUACUUGGUGUGAAUUGCAGAAUCCCGUGAACCAUCGAGUCUUUGAACGCAAGUUGCGCCCGAAGCCACUAGGCCGAGGGCACGCCUGCCUGGGCGUCACACGUCGUUGCCCCCCCCCCCAUCUACUCCUUCGGGAUUGCGGGGGGCGGAUGAUGGCCUCCCGUGCGCCUAGCCGCGCGGUUGGCAUAAAUACCAAGUCCUCGGCGACGCACGCCACGGCAAUCGGUGGUUGCGAAACCUCGGUUGCCCGUCGUGUGCGUUCGUCGCGCAUCGAGGGCUCGAAAAAAUGCUCGGCUCCGGCUCGGCUUUCAACGCGACCCCACGUCAGGCGGGGUUACCCGCUGAAUUUAAGCAUAUCAAUAAGCGGAGGA
rnacentral:misc_RNA from 1 species